AAAGUAAGGACCACCACUAAAUUUUAACAUCAUUUAAAAUGAGAGAAGAAGAUUCUGUUAUCAGACUGUAAACUCUCCUGUGGUUCUCUCUUUGCAGACAAAACAAGACUUUUAAAGACCAUCACCACUUUCUUACUGCUGCCCAUUCUGACUUUUGCAAACAAGAAGUGUCAUCUCUGAGGCAACAGAUGACAGAGGUUCAUCCUGUGGCAGACACUCUUCCAAAUUUCACAUCAGAAUCUCAAGGAGCCAUGAUCCAAAGCGGGGUUUCCUCAUGGACAGAGAACUCUGUGCGCAAAUGUAUGCAGUGGGUGGACCCCUCCAGGGCCAGUAGAAGAGUAA